CCCCUCAUUCCUAAACAGUUAGGCAGCAACCAUUUGAUUUUCUGGGGGGGGCUAUGGUUUUUUUUUCUGUGCAAACUUUUUUUUUCGCCUUCGGCGAAGAACAAUCUAUUUUUUUAGCGACAAACCGAAGACAAUUUUUUUCUUUCAAUUUUAGCAUUACAUAUAGUGGCAGCUGAGGGUGAAACAAACAAUUUUUUUUACUCAGGGUCCAAAACAAAUUAUUUUUUUCACCAAAACCUGGAAACAAACUUUUUUUUCCAAAAAAAAACCAUAGCCCCCCCCAGAAAAUCAAAUGGUUGCUGCCUUAGG
rnacentral:lncRNA from 1 species